rnacentral:rRNA from 1 species
AUUGAACGCUGGCGGCAUGCCUUACACAUGCAAGUCGAACGGUAGAGGGGGCAACCCCUUGAGAGUGGCGAACGGGUGAGUAAUGCAUCGGAACGUGCCCAGUAGUGGGGGAUAGCCCGGCGAAAGCCGGAUUAAUACCGCAUACGACCUACGGGUGAAAGCGGGGGACCUUCGGGCCUCGCGCUAUUGGAGCGGCCGAUGUCAGAUUAGCUAGUUGGUGGGGUAAAGGCCCACCAAGGCGACGAUCUGUAGCUGGUCUGAGAGGACGACCAGCCACACUGGGACUGAGACACGGCCCAGACUCCUACGGGAGGCAGCAGUGGGGAAUUUUAGACAAUGGACGAAAGUCUGAUCCAGCCAUGCCGCGUGCGGGAAGAAGGCCUUCGGGUUGUAAACCGCUUUUGUCAGGGAAGAAAUCUUCUGGGCGAAUAACCUGGGAGGAUGACGGUACCUGAAGAAUAAGCACCGGCUAACUACGUGCCAGCAGCCGCCGUAAAAC